rnacentral:rRNA from 1 species
CCAGCACCCGCGGUAAUUCCAGCUCCAAUAGCAUAUAUUAAAGUUGUUGCAGUUAAAAAGCUCGUAGUUGGAUUUCUGGCAUGAUGCGCCUGGCCCUGCGUGAUUAUGCGUGUGUGUGCUAGUGCGCGUCUGCCAUCCAUUUGCAGAAUAUGUCUACCCUUAAUUGGGCCGGAUAUGUGAUGUAAAUCUUUUACUUUGAAAAAAUUAGAGUGUUUAAAGCAGGCAUUUGCUAUGAAUACAUUAGCAUGGAAUAAUAAUCUAGGACUUCGGUUCUAUUUUGUUGGUUUCUAGAUCUGGAGUAAUGAUUGAUAGGGAUAGUUGGGGGUGCUAGUAUUAAGGGGCCAGAGGUGAAAUUCUUGGAUUCUCUUAAGACUAACUUAUGCGAAAGCAUUCACCAAGGAUGUCUUCUUUAAUCAAG